AAUAGAUACCCCGGUAGUCCACGCCGUAAACGAUGAAUGUUAGCCGUCGGGGUGUUUACACUUCGGUGGCGCAGCUAACGCAUUAAACAUUCCGCCUGGGGAGUACGGUCGCAAGAUUAAAACUCAAAGGAAUUGACGGGGGGCCCGCACAAGCGGUGGAGCAUGUGGCUUAAUUCGAAGCAACGCGCAGAACCUUACCAGCUCUUGACAUGCCUAUGAAUGUUAGUGGAGACACUUUCAGCCUUUCGGGGCGUAGGACACAGGUGCUGCAUGGCUGUCGUCAGCUCGUGUCGUGAGAUGUUGGGUUAAGUCCCGCAACGAGCGCAACCCUCGCCUUUAGUUGCCAUCAUUUAGUUGGGCACUCUAAAGGGACUGCCAGUGAUAAGCUGGAGGAAGGUGGGGAUGACGUCAAGUCCUCAUGGCCCUUACGGGCUGGGCUACACACGUGCUACAAUGGUGGUGACAGUGGGCAGCGAGACCGCGAGGUCGAGCUAAUCUCCAAAAGCCAUCUCAGUUCGGAUUG
rnacentral:rRNA from 1 species